rnacentral:sRNA from 1 species
AUUUUGUUGCAAAGCCAUUUCUUCCUUUGUCUGAUAGUGGUGUUAUAUAUGACUCUGAUGAAAGCAUUCAUAGUGAUGAAGAAGAUGAUGCCUUUUUUUCAGAUACACAAAUACAGGAGCACCAAGAUCCAAAUUCCUAUAGCUGGGCUCUUCUACAUUUGACAAUGGUUAAACUAGCACUUCACAAUGUCAAGAAUUUCUUUCCUAUUGCUGGACUGGAAUUCUCUGAGCUGCCUGUAACAUCACCAUUAGGUAUUGCUGUGAUUAAAAACUUGGAGAACUGGGAACAGAUCUUGCAAGAGAAAAUGGAUCAGUUUGAAGGUCCACCCCCUAACUAUAUCAACACAUAUCCAACUGACCUUUCAGUGGGAGCUGGACCAGCUAUUCUUCGAAAUAAAGCAAUGCUAGAACCUGAAAAUACCCCAUUCAAGUCCCGGGAUUCUUCUGCAUUUCCAGUCAAACGACUUUGGCAUUUCCUUGUUAAACAAGAAGUCCUUCAAGAGACAUUUAUUAGAUAUAUUUUCACUAAGAAAAGAAAGCAGAGUGAGGUAUUUUGAGAAAAAUAUUUUCUAUUGUAAUUUUUCUUUAGUUUUCUUUAACAUUUGUAAGGAAAUCAGUGCUUGAUUUAUUCUGAAAUUUUCUCUCUGGUUGGGUAAUAGUCAAAGUUCACUAAACUACUGUGAACUACUUUUAAGAUAAAACCUUAUAAUUUUCAUUUCAUAGCAAUGAAACAACAUAGGUACUUUGAUAAAUUACAUAUAUUCCAGUGAAAAUUGGUACUUUAUAGUAUUUGUCAUUAGGUUUUUACAUGUAAUAAACAUUGUGAUGGAUGGUUUGAGGAAUUUAAUAUA